AACGAACGCUGGCGGCAUGCCUAACACAUGCAAGUCGAACGAGACCUUCGGGUCUAGUGGCGCACGGGUGCGUAACGCGUGGGAAUCUGCCCUCAGGUACGGAAUAACUCAGGGAAACUUGAGCUAAUACCGUAUAAUGACUUCGGUCCAAAGAUUUAUCGCCAGAGGAUGAGCCCGCGUAGGAUUAGCUAGUUGGUGAGGUAAAAGCUCACCAAGGCGACGAUCCUUAGCGGUCUGAGAGGAUGAUCAGCCACACUGGGACUGAGACACGGCCCAGACUCCUACGGGAGGCAGCAGUGGGGAAUAUUGGACAAUGGGCGAAAGCCUGAUCCAGCAAUGCCGCGUGAGUGAUGAAGGCCUUAGGGUUGUAAAGCUCUUUUACCCGGGAUGAUAAUGACAGUACCGGGAGAAUAA
rnacentral:rRNA from 1 species